GGUGACUCAGUGGUAGAGUGCUUGCCUUGCAUGCAUGAGGCCCUGGGUUCGAUUCCUGAGCACCA
rnacentral:tRNA from 1 species